CCCCUCUCAGGAUCACACCUGGAGAGGUCUCAGUACUCUACCAGUCUCAACUAUGGAAAGAAGAGUCAAGCAGAGGCCUACCCAUUCCAAUCCUAGCUUGACCAGUGGCUAGUGAGUGGAAGACAAUCUGCUACAAGU